CGAAAGGCGGCAGCUACACAUGCAGUCGAGCGAGAACUUCGGUUCUAGCGGCGGACGGGUUAGUAACGCGUGGGAACGUGCCCUUCACUACGGAAUAGUCCCGGGAAACUGGGUUUAAUACCGUAUACGCCCUUCGGGGGAAAGAAUUUCGGUGAAGGAUCGGCCCGCGUUAGAUUAGAUAGUUGGUGGGGUAACGGCCUACCAAGUCUACGAUCUAUAGCUGGUUUUAGAGGAUGAUCAGCAACACUGGGACUGAGACACGGCCCAGACUCCUACGGGAGGCAGCAGUGGGGAAUCUUAGACAAUGGGCGCAAGCCUGAUCUAGCCAUGCCGCGUGAGUGAUGAAGGCCUUAGGGUCGUAAAGCUCUUUCGCCAGGGAUGAUAAUGACAGUACCUGGUAAAGAAACCCCGGCUAACUCCGUGCCAGCAGCCGCGGUAAUACGGAGGGGGUUAGCGUUGUUCGGAAUUACUGGGCGUAAAGCGCGCGUAGGCGGAUUGGAAAGUUGGGGGUGAAAUCCCAGGGCUCAACCCUGGAACUGCCUCCAAAACUAUCAGUCUAGAGUUCGAGAGAGGUGAGUGGAACUCCGAGUGUAGAGGUGAAAUUCGUAGAUAUUCGGAAGAACACCAGUGGCGAAGGCGGCUCACUGGCUCGAUACUGACGCUGAGGUGCGAAAGUGUGGGGAGCAAACAGGAUUAGAUACCCUGGUAGU
rnacentral:rRNA from 1 species